AAUAGAUACCCGGGUAGUCCACGCCGUAAACGGUGGGCACUAGAUGUGGGGCUCUUUCCAUGAGUUCCGCGUCGCAGCUAACGCAUUAAGUGCCCCGCCUGGGGAGUACGGCCGCAAGGCUAAAACUCAAAGGAAUUGACGGGGGCCCGCACAAGCGGCGGAGCAUGCGGAUUAAUUCGAUGCAACGCGAAGAACCUUACCAAGGCUUGACAUAUACCGUUUAUCCCUAGAGAUAGGGAGUCCUUGGGGCGGUAUACAGGUGGUGCAUGGUUGUCGUCAGCUCGUGUCGUGAGAUGUUGGGUUAAGUCCCGCAACGAGCGCAACCCUCGUUCUAUGUUGCCAGCGCGUAAUGGCGGGGACUCAUAGGAGACUGCCGGGGUCAACUCGGAGGAAGGUGGGGAUGACGUCAAAUCAUCAUGCCCCUUAUGUCUUGGGCUUCACGCAUGCUACGAAUGGCCGGUACAAAGGGCUGCAAUACCGCAAGGUGGAGCGAAUCCCAAAAAGCCGGUCUCAGUUCGGAUUGAGGU
rnacentral:rRNA from 1 species